CAAAGGUAGCAUAAUCAUUAGUUUUUUAAUUAAAAACUGGUAUGAAUGGUUGGACAAAAGAAACACUGUCUUUAAUAUGUAAAUUGAAAUAUACUUUUAAGUGAAAAGGCUUAAAUACUUCAAAGGGACGAUAAGACCCUAUAAAGCUUUAUAUAUUAUUUAAAUUUAAUUGAUUUGAGUAAAAUAAAAGUUAAAUUUGAUUAUUGUAUUUCGUUGGGGCGAUGAGAGUAUAAUUAAAAAUAACUGCUUAGAUAUAGUACAGAUAUAGUUGAGUUAGAUUGAUAAGAUCCUAAUUAAAGAUUAAAAGGCUAAGUUACUUUAGGGAUAACAGCGUUAUUUCUUUUGAGAGCUCAUAUCGAAAAAGAAGUUUGCGACCUCGAUGUUGAAUUAAAAUAUCUAUAUAAUGCAGCCGUUAUAAGAGAGGGUCUGUUCGACCUUUAAAUUUUUACAUGAUUUGAGUUCA
rnacentral:rRNA from 1 species